AUUGAACGCUGGCGGCAGGCCUAACACAUGCAAGUCGAGCGGAUGAAGGGAGCUUUCUCCUGGAUUCAGCGGCGGACGGGUGUGUAAUUCCUAGGAAUCUGCCUGGUAGUGGGGUAUUACGUCCUGAAACGGGCGCUAAUACCGCAUACGUCCUUAGGUAGAAAGUUGGGGAUCUUCGGACCUCACGCUAUCAGAUGAGCCUAGGUGGGAUUAGCUAGUUGGUGGGGUAAAGGCCUACCAAGGCGACGAUCCGUAACUGUUCUGAGAGGAUGAUCAGUCACACUGGAACUGAGACACGGUCAAGACGCCUAGGGGAGGCAGCAGUGGGGAAUAUUGGACAAUGGGCGAAAGCCUGAUCCAGCAAUGCCGCGUGUGUGAAGAAGGUCUUCGGAUUGUAAAGCACUUUAAGUUGGGAGGAAGGGAAGUAAGUUAAUACCUUGCUGUUUUGACGUUACCAACAGAAUAAGCACCGGCUAACUUCGUG
rnacentral:rRNA from 1 species